AGCCCAAAGCUAAUGGAAGGAAAAGAUGUUCAUUUCCUGGCUUGCACACUAAAACGGGAUUGUCAGUGAACAUGUUCAGUAUCUGGGAUGUUUGCAGUAACACUGACAGAUAGUCAAAUGUUUCUCAGUGUAUGUCAUCAAUAUGAAAACUUUUGCCUAGGAUCUAUGGGAGAUUUGUCUUGCUUUUUGACUUGUUUUUCUCUUUGUCAAUCAGGAGAUACCUGAAUAUAUUUAAUAAUUUUCUGUGUUUGAGAUCAGUUUCUGUGUCCUAUAAACUAUUGACUGUCUUAUAUAUGCUAUUGCCAUUUUUUUCUUGUAAUUUUUUAUUGCACCGUUUAUUCAGCAGUCAUCCAGCACAUCACUGGACUUUGUUGUAUCACUUGUUUAAACCUUUAUAUUAAUUUUCAUGUUAGCAGCUUUAUAAUUCCAAUACAAGUAUCAUUGAUGGCCAGCUAUCCCUCUGUUCAUGUACUUUGGAUCUGCUGUUUUGGUCUUAAGCAGAAUAGUUGAAAAGUUAAAUAUACUCUGUAGCUUAGGCAUACUUAUUAAAAAAGGAGUGCAUCACAUUGUCAAGUAUGAAAGAAAAUGAAGUUGCACAAUAUUAGCUUUGAUAUACAUAAAUCUUCAGAAUAGGCCAAAUAAGGUAUGGGAUUAUUUUUAAAGUUAUGCUGGAACUGAUAGAAACAGACUAAGAGAGUCUCUACCAUUGUCAACUGACUAUAGGUCCAGGUCAAGUCUUAAGACCAUAUUCUGAUAUCAUUCAUCCUAUAAACCUUCUGUUUCUAGUAUGGACACAAAUGGUCAUUUUUGCAGGAAGGAGGGAUUGUUCAGGGGGAAGUGCUUCAAACACCGCAGUCCUGUCCACAUACAGUGUUGCUCACAUCUGUUUGUGAGCAGAUGGCAAGACUUCAAGCCUGAGCUACAGCAAACGAUCAGAAUGAAAGAUUCAUAAAGAUCAGAGCUCAGCAGAAGAUUGAUCCUCCUUCUGUUUUUCAUCUGUCACUGAAGAUCCAGGCAGAGGAGCAUAGUCAUGAUAACCAUACUGAACAAACCUGCCUGGAAUGGCUUAGCUGUUUCAGAUCGUGAAAACAACAUAUUGUUGAGAAUUGCAAGGAAGAGCAAGAAAAAUAGCUCACUGUCUCAUGUUUCCCUAUUCAACAAAUUGAGAGAUCAUUAGUAAAUUAAUGAUGUUUGCAAAAGUGAUUUUGUGAUCUAGACUUCCCCUACGAGUAUUGUUAUCUAUGAUCAUAUGUUUUUGUAUGUAAUAUACAUAUACACUAGUAUGGAGACUACUUUGUUAACGAGAGCAAUUUAAAUUAUACUGUCUGUAGAAAAAUCUGAAUUUAUGAGGACUUGUAACUCUGAUGUCCCAGUUCCCAUUUUAGUCUGUUGAUUCUGUUGCUUAUUCUUAAACGAAAUGUAACCGAUGCCUAGUAUAUCUGUCCUUACAUAGCAAGUACCUAGAAAGUUGGUUUGAAAAAGAUCCAGCAAAUACUGCUGCUGUCCUUUCCAGAGUAUGAAGAACCAUUCUGUUGUCAACGUAAUCGUGUAAGCUGCAAGUCCUCCUUUCUUUCUGAGCUCACAGUAUACACAGACCGUAGCAAUAGCAGCUGCAUAUCUUCCCUGGCACAGAAUGACUUAGGGUGGAGAACAGAUUCUUUCCCCUUCAAAUCACUUCAUAAAAUUCCUGGCAGAAAGCCAGAUAAUUUGUUCUGUUCAAGUAAGGAGGUUUGAAUUAUCAGCACAGGAAGAGUAUUCUUAUGACUCUGCUGAAGUGCAUGAGUUUGGUUUCUGCAUCCUGGAUCUGUUGAUUGUGUUGUUUUUCUGCUCAUGACCAUUUUUAAAUGCAUGUAGUAAACCAUAUGGAAAAACGAGCAUUUUAGAUAAUGUACCCCCCUUGCUGUCUUUAUUGCAGUAUAUGACAUAGUUUGCACUGUAGCUGGGGACUGGAAAGUGUUGGUCACAUAUUAGAGUGGGAAAUAACAUAUUAAGAAAUGCAAGGUAGUAGAAGCAGUGCAAGGGAAUCAUACAAAUCAGGUUUGUUAUUUUAUUUUAUUUUUGCUUUUUUUCCUUUUGAAUUAGUAUGUUUACUAAAUAAAGAAGCCUACACA
ensembl:lncRNA